AGGAAGUAAAAGUCGUAACAAAGGUCUCCGUUGGUGAACCAGCGGAGGGAUCAUUACUGAGUUACCGCUCUAUAACCCUUUUGUGAACAUACCUACAACUGUUGCUUCGGCGGGUAGGCCGUCCCCUGAAAAGGACGCCUCCCGGCCCGGACCGGACCCCCCGCGGGACCGGACCCGGCGCCCGCCGGAGGAUAACCAAACUCUAUUGUAACGACGUUUCUUCUGAGUGGCAUAAGCAAAAUAAUCAAAACUUUUUAACAACGGAUCUCUUGGUUCUGGCAUCGAUGAAGAACGCAGCGAAAUGCGAUAAGUAAUGUGAAUUGCAGAAUUCAGUGAAUCAUCGAAUCUUUGAACGCACAUUGCGCCCGCCAGCAUUCUGGCGGGCAUGCCUGUUCGAGCGUCAUUUCAACCCUCAAGCUCUGCUUGGUGUUGGGGCUCUACGGUCGACGUAGGCCCUCAAAGGUAGUGGCGGACCCUCCCGGAGCCUCCUUUGCGUAGUAACAUUUCGUCUCGCACUGGGAUCCGGAGGGACUCUUGCCGUAAAACCCCCCCAAUUUUCCAAAGGUUGACCUCGGAUCAGGUAGGAAUACCCGCUGAACUUAAGCAUAUCA
rnacentral:rRNA from 1 species